GACGAACGCUGGCGGCGUGCCUAAUACAUGCAAGUCGAGCGCAGGAAACUGACGGAACUCUUCGGAGGGAAGGCAGUGGAAUGAGCGGCGGACGGGUGAGUAACACGUAAGGAACCUGCCUCAAGGAUUGGGAUAACUCCGAGAAAUCGGAGCUAAUACCGGAUAGUUCAACGGACCGCAUGGUCCGCCGAUGAAAGGCGCUUCGGCGUCCCCUUCAGCUGGCCUUGCGGUGCAUUAGCUAGUUGGGGGGGUAACGGGCCACCAAGGCGACGAUGCAUAGCCGACCUGAGAGGGUGAUCGGCCACACUGGGACUGAGACACGGCCCAGACUCCUACGGGAGGCAGCAGUAGGGAAUCUUCCACAAUGGACGAAAGUCUGAUUGAGCAACGCCGCGUGGGUGAUGAAGGUUUUCGGAUCGUAAAACUCUGUUGUAAGGGAAGAACACGUACGAGAGGGAAUGCUCGUACCUUGACGGUACCUUACGAGAAAGCCACGGCUAACUACGUGCCAGCAGCCGCCGCAG
rnacentral:rRNA from 1 species